rnacentral:rRNA from 1 species
UACGUAGGGUGCAAGCGUUGUCCGGAAUUAUUGGGCGUAAAGAGCUUGUAGGCGGUUUGUCGCGUCUGCUGUGAAAUUUCGGGGCUCAACCCCGAACUUGCAGUGGGUACGGGCAGACUAGAGUGUGGUAGGGGAGACUGGAAUUCCUGGUGUAGCGGUGAAAUGCGCAGAUAUCAGGAGGAACACCAUGGCGAAGGCAGCUCGCUGGGACGGUACUGACGCUGAGACGCGAAAGCGUGGGGGAGCAAACAGG